rnacentral:rRNA from 1 species
UUUUUGGAGAGUUUGAUACUGGCUCAGGAUUAACGCUGGCGGCAUGCCUAAUACAUGCAAGUCGAAUGGGGAGCUUGCUCUCCAUGGCGAACGGGUGAGUAAUACGUAGGUAACCUACCUUUAGGACGAGGAUAACCUUUGGAAACGAAGGAUAAUACUGGAUAGUAUGGAAGAACGCAUGUUUUCCCAUUUAAAGAUUUAUCACCUAAAGAGGGGCCUGCGGUGCAUUAGCUAGUUGGCGGGAUAAAAGCCCACCAAGGCGAUGAUGCAUAGCCGGACUGAGAGGUUGUACGGCCACAAUGGAACUGAGAACGGUCCAUACUCCUACGGGAGGCCGCAGUAGGGAAUUUUCGGCAAUGGACGCAAGUCUGACCGAGCAAUGCCGCGUGAAUGAAGAAGUAUUUCGGUAUGUAAAGUUCUUUUAUCUAGGAAGAAAAAACAAAUUGACGGUACUAGAUGAAUAAGCUCCGGCUAACUACGUGCCAGCAGCCGCGGUAAUACGUAGGGAGCGAGCGUUAUCCGGAUUUAUUGGGCGUAAAGGGUGCGCAGACGGCACGAAAAGUAUGCUGUAAAAUCGAAGGGCUCAACCCUUUCUGGCAGUAUAGACUAUCGAGCUAGAGUAGUCAAGAGGCAAACGGAACUCCAUGUGUAGCGGUAAAAUGCGUAAAUAUAUGGAAGAA